rnacentral:rRNA from 1 species
CUACGGGACGCUGCAGUGAGGAAUAUUGCACAAUGGGGGGAACCCUGAUGCAGCAACGCCGCGUGGAGGAUGACGCAUUUCGGUGUGUAAACUCCUUUUAUAUGUCAAGAAAAUGACGGUAGCAUAUGAAUAAGCACCCGCUAACUCCGUGCCAGCAGCCGCGGUAAUACGGAGGGUGCAAGCGUUACUCAGAAUCACUGGGCGUAAAGGACGCGUAGGCGGGUUGGAAAGUCAGGUGUGAAAUCCUACAGCUUAACUGUAGAACUGCACUUGAAACUUCUAAUCUAGAGUAUGGGAGGGGGAGAUGGAAUUAGUGGUGUAGGGGUAAAAUCCGUAGAUAUCACUAGGAAUACCUAAAGCGAAGGCGAUCUCCUGGAACAUUACUGACGCUAAGGCGUGAAAGCGUGGGGAGCAAACAGGAUUAGAUACCCGCGUAGUC